rnacentral:sRNA from 1 species
AUUCUUCGUACCUUUUUGAGCAGGCUUGCUUAUGAAAAGAUGAUGAACAGCAUCUGUACUGCAUGCAUAGGUUAUUAUUAACCUAAAAGAUUAAUGUCAACUUCCCCUAAAGAAAAUGU